GGUAGAGCACUGUUUGGACGAGGGGCCCCUCUCGGGUUACCGAAUUCAGACAAACUCCGAAUGCCAAUUAAUUUAACUUGGGAGUCAGAACAUGGGUGAUAAGGUCCGUGUUCGAAAGGGAAACAGCCCAGACCACCAGCUAAGGUCCCAAAAUAUAUGUUAAGUGGAAAAGGAUGUGGCGUUGCCCAGACAACUAGGAUGUUGGCUUAGAAGCAGCCAUCAUUUAAAGAGUGCGUAAUAGCUCACUAGUCGAGUGACACUGCGCCGAAAAUGUACCGGGGCUAAACAUAUUACCGAAGCUGUGGAUUGUCCUUUGGACAAUGGUAGGAGAGCGUUCUAAGGGCGUUGAAGCAUGAUCGUAAGGACAUGUGGAGCGCUUAGAAGUGAGAAUGCCGGUGUGAGUAGCGAAAGACGGGUGAGAAUCCCGUCCACCGAUUGACUAAGGUUUCCAGAGGAAGGCUCGUCCGCUCUGGGUUAGUCGGGUCCUAAGCUGAGGCCGACAGGCGUAGGCGAUGGAUAACAGGUUGAUAUUCCUGUACCACCUAUAAUCGUUUUAAUCGAUGGGGGGACGCAGUAGGAUAGGCGAAGCGUGCGAUUGGAUUGCACGUCUAAGCAGUAAGGCUGAGUAUUAGGCAAAUCCGGUACUCGUUAAGGCUGAGCUGUGAUGGGGAGAAGACAUUGAGUCUUCGAGUCGUUGAUUUCACACUGCCGAGAAAAGCCUCUAGAUAGAAAAUAGGUGCCCGUACCGCAAACCGACACAGGUAGUCAAGAUGAGAAUUCUAAGGUGAGCGAGCGAACUCUCGUUAAGGAACUCGGCAAAAUGACCCCGUAACUUCGGGAGAAGGGGUGCUCUUUAGGGUUAACGCCCAGAAGAGCCGCAGUGAAUAGGCCCAAGCGACUGUUUAUCAAAAACACAGGUCUCUGCUAAACCGUAAGGUGAUGUAUAGGGGCUGACGCCUGCCCGGUGCUGGAAGGUUAAGAGGAGUGGUUAGCUUCUGCGAAGCUACGAAUCGAAGCCCCAGUAAACGGCGGCCGUAACUAUAACGGUCCUAAGGUAGCGAAAUUCCUUGUCGGGUAAGUUCCGACCCGCACGAAAGGCGUAACGAUUUGGGCACUGUCUCAACGAGAGACUCGGUGAAAUCAUAGUACCUGUGAAGAUGCAGGUUACCCGCGACAGGACGGAAAGACCCCGUGGAGCUUUACUGUAGCCUGAUAUUGAAAUUCGGCACAGCUUGUACAGGAUAGGUAGGAGCCUUUGAAACGUGAGCGCUAGCUUACGUGGAGGCGCUGGUGGGAUACUACCCUAGCUGUGUUGGCUUUCUAACCCGCACCACUUAUCG
rnacentral:rRNA from 1 species